AAGAAGUUAGUUAAAUAAUAACAUUAAUAUGUCAUAUUAAAAUUAUUAAUCAGCUAAUACUUCUUU
rnacentral:tRNA from 1 species